UGUUUUUAUGUCUUGUGUAAUUAUUGUGGUUUGAGAUUAAAUUAGAUAGUAGUAUAAUUUAGGAGUUAGUUAUGUGAGAAAAUAAAUAAUUAGAGAUUUUGGGAUUAUUUAUGAGAGAAGGAGGUAGAGAGAGAAGUUAAAAACAAAGGGUUUUGGUGAAAGUUGAAGAGAAAGAAGAGAUGAGGAAUGCAAAUCUCGUUUUUCAACACAGCAGCCUCGCAAAAACUUUGAUUCCCAAUUCGUUAACUGUUGGAUUUCCUUCAAAUUUUGAGGGUAGGUUCACAACACCUGAGGCCAACUUUUGACCGUUCGUAUCGUUGAAACAAGGUCUGAGGUGGAAGAAAUAGAGUUCUGAUUGCACCAUAUUUUUGGGGAGAAAAAGAGGGAAAGAGGCAAGAACAUGAUGGAGCUUCAAGAACCAUUGUCAUCCAUUUCUUUUACAACCAAAGGUUUUCCAGGUUCUUGAGUCUCGUGCUCAAGUUCUUGAUGAAGCUCCGCUCUGAUUGUGACACGAGGGAAGAGUUCAUAGAGUCAUUUACUCUGUCAUUUUAUUUUUAAUUUAAAAUGUUACUUUUUAGAAAAGAAAAAUAUUUUUAAUAGUGAUACUUAUGCUAAUUUAUUUUCAUUAGCCAUGUAUAAAGAAAAAUGUAAUACCUUAAACCAAUAUUUUUAUAAGUUAUUUUGACUUCAAGCCUAUUUAUUAUUUAUAACCGCUGCGUAAAUUUUAAAAGCA